AACGAACGCUGGCGGCAUGCCUAACACAUGCAAGUCGAACGAGACCUUCGGGUCUAGUGGCGCACGGGUGCGUAACGCGUGGGAACCUGCCCUUAGGUUCGGAAUAACUCCCCGAAAGGGGUGCUAAUACCGGAUAAUGUCUUCGGACCAAAGAUUUAUCGCCUUUGGAUGGGCCCGCGUUGGAUUAGCUAGUUGGUAGGGUAAAAGCCUACCAAGGCGACGAUCCAUAGCUGGUCUGAGAGGAUGAUCAGCCACACUGGGACUGAGACACGGCCCAGACUCCUACGGGAGGCAGCAGCGGGGAAUAUUGGACAAUGGGCGAAAGCCUGAUCCAGCAAUGCCGCGUGAGUGAUGAAGGCCUUAGGGUUGUAAAGCUCUUUUACCCGGGAUGAUAAUGGCAGUACCGGGAGAAUAAGCUCCGGCUAACUCCGUG
rnacentral:rRNA from 1 species